rnacentral:rRNA from 1 species
GACGUAGGGCGCGAGCGUUGUCCGGAUUUAUUGGGCGUAAAGAGCUCGUAGGCGGUUCGACAAGUCGGGUGUGAAAACUCCGGGCUCAACCCGGAGACGCCACCCGAUACUGUCGUGACUGGAGUCCGGUAGGGGAGUGGGGAAUUCCUGGUGUAGCGGUGAAAUGCGCAGAUAUCAGGAGGAACACCGGUGGCGAAGGCGCCACUCUGGGCCGGUACUGACGCUGAGGAGCGAAAGCGUGGGUAGCAAACAGG